rnacentral:rRNA from 1 species
CACUGCUAUCGGGGUUCGAUUAAGCCAUGCGAGUCGAGAGGGUUCAGACCCUCGGCGCACUGCUCAGUAACACGUGGAUAACCUACCCUGAGGAGGGGGAUAACCCCGGGAAACUGGGGAUAAUACCUCAUAGGUUUCAGAUGCUGGAAUGCUCUGAAACCGAAAUGCUCCGGCGCCUCAGGAUGGAUCUGCGGCCGAUUAGGUUGUUGUUGGGGUAACGGCCCAACAAGCCCGUCAUCGGUACGGGUUGUGAGAGCAAGAGCCCGGAGAUGGAUUCUGAGACACCAAUCCAGGCCCUACGGGGCGCAGCAGGCGCGAAACCUUUACAAUGCGAGCAAUCGUGAUAAGGGAACCCCGAGUGCCUGAAACCAGGCUGUUCAGGUGUUCAAAAAGCACCUGGAGAAAGGGCCGGGCAAGACCGGUGCCAGCCGCCGCGGUAAUACCGGCGGCUCGAGUGGUGGCCGCUAUUAUUGGGCUUAAAGCGUUCGUAGCUGGGUUGUUAAGUCUCUUGGGAAAUCUCACGGCUCAACCGUGAGGCGACUAAGAGAUACUGGCAAUCUUGGGACCGGGAGAGGUGAGAGGUACU